GUGUCAGCCGCCGCGGUAAUACGGAGGGUGCAAGCGUUAUCCGGAUUUACUGGGUUUAAAGGGUGCGUAGGCGGGCUUUUAAGUCAGCGGUGAAAGCUUCGAGCUUAACUCGGAAAUUGCCGUUGAUACUAUUAGUCUUGAAUUAAGUUGAGGUGGGCGGAAUGUGUCAUGUAGCGGUGAAAUGCUUAGAUAUGACACAGAACACCGAUUGCGAAGGCAGCUCGCUAAACUUAUAUUGACGCUGAGGCACGAAAGCGUGGGGAUCAAACAGGAUUAGAUACCCUUGUAGUCC
rnacentral:rRNA from 1 species